UACAGAGGGUGCAAGCGUUGUUCGGAAUUAUUGGGCGUAAAGCGCGUGUAGGCGGCUUUGCAAGUCGGGUGUGAAAGCCCACGGCUCAACCGUGGAAGUGCGCCCGAAACUGCAGAGCUUGAGUGUCAAAGAGGAUGGCGGAAUUCCCCAAGUAGAGGUGAAAUUCGUAGAUAUGGGGAGGAACACCGGUGGCGAAGGCGGCCAUCUGGGUGACAACUGACGCUGAGACGCGAAAGCGUGGGUAGCAAACAGG
rnacentral:rRNA from 1 species